rnacentral:rRNA from 1 species
AUGGCUGCGAGGGGCGGCGCAUCCUCACCGUCGGCCGCGCCUUCAUCAUCAUCACCGCAACGUCGGCCAUCAGUCCGCGCGCGGGGCCUCGCCUCGGUCGGCCGCAUCCAUCCACGCAUCGCUCGCGUCUGCUUCCCUCCGCGCUGCAUCUUGCCCCGGCGGGAACGCGCGUUGGCUCCUCCAUAUACCAUCUACAAGCUAGCUAGAUGCAUGUCAAACAAUGGUCAAACCAUUAGCCACACCAUAGCCAAACCAUUCCCCGUACACAUCCCAGAUAAUGGCGAUAAUGGCCUUCUCAGAUGCGGGUCGGAUACGACCAGUACAUCACCCAGACUACCCCACGAGCAUGGUUUGCUGCUAAACUGA